GACAGAGGGUGCAAACGUUGCUCGGAAUCACUGGGCGUAAAGGGCGUGUAGGCGGGAAGGAAAGUCAGAUGUGAAAUCCCCAGGCUCAACCUGGGAACUGCAUUUGAAACUCCCUUUCUUGAGUACCGGAGAGGAAAGCGGAAUUCCUGGUGUAGAGGUGAAAUUCGUAGAUAUCAGGAGGAACACCAGCGGCGAAGGCGGCUCGCUGGGACGGUACUGACGCUGAGACGCGAAAGCGUGGGGAGCAAACAGG
rnacentral:rRNA from 1 species